CCCUCUUCCACGUCACCUAUACAAUUCCAGAGGCUCCAAUAUCCCACAAAACCAGCAAAACAGAACUCUUUUUCGAAAGCGCUCUUAUCCUAUACCCCCCCCCCCUCAGACUCCUAGAUCUUCCACCAAAUCAGCACAGUCAACAGGAUUUGCAUCCACAACAUCCCAAGAACGCCCGAGGCACCAAUACCCCCUGUUAUCAGUAUUCUUUACAACACGAGAGCAUCUAACAACUUAGUUAACUUUUACGUGACAUGUAUCUGUUCA